rnacentral:rRNA from 1 species
GGGGUGCAACACGAGGACUUCCCAGGAGGUCACCCAUCCUAGUACUACUCUCGCCCAAGCACGCUUAACUACGGAGUUCUGAUGGGAUCCGGUGCAUUAGUGCUGGUAUGAUCGCACCC